CUCCAUCCGCCCCGGGGCAAGGAGGAUCUCAAGGGUCUGGUUCCUCUCUGAAGGGCACCCACGAGGAAGCAGAAGUGGGAGCCGUGGCGGUCAAGAGGAGAAGACUGGAAGGGGGCAACUUCCCCUCAGGACAAGAGCGGGGCAGGGCCGUGAUGGGAGCUUCCAGCAGGAAGAAGCCCCCAACUCGCACCAGAAGGAACCAGCCCGGAGAAGCUGCCCCGGAAGCAGAGGGCUCGGACGCGGCGCUCCAGGACCCCGGUGCCCUGGAGGAGUCUGGGUCUACUCCGGCAGACCCAAAGGUGCGCCCACCUCAGCCAAGCAGUCCACCUCCCCCCGAGGAGCCCCCCAAGCAAGGCCAUACUGGAUUUUUUGGCUUUCUGAGCUCCAUCUUCCCAUUCAGCCUCUUCAGCAGGAGAGGCAGCCAGUGAGCCUCGUGGAGGACCGCCUGGCCGGGCCUCGGCCCUGCUCCCCGGCCCGGAGGGAGGAGAAGGCCGAGGGCUCGCCGGAGCAGCCGCACGUGUCUCCCCACUUGUCCUUGGCAUCCCCAUGUUUGUUCCGA
rnacentral:lncRNA from 1 species